CGUUGAUGCAACUUUCAUUUUUGUUCUGUGGAAGUUUUUUGUCAAGAAGGUCUAAGAAUGUAUGACGGAAAUGUUGUUGGAUGGUCUAAAGAACCUUUUCUAUUAGCGAAAAUAGUGAAAUUAAAAAAAAGUGAGGUGUUCGUAACAUUACUACCGAGAAAAUCUGUCAGCAAGUCAUCGAAACGUCUAUUUGACGAAAAAGGUUCUACUUAUCACAAAUGCCGUUCAAUAAUAUAAUGCGGCGAACGUGUGGGUAAUAAUCAGUGAAAGAGAACAUUACACCGCAAGUGCGCAUAGUUGAAUAAGGUGGUCCAAUUGGCGAUAUCGUGAACAUGGAAACAUGAAAACGGACUUUACAUCAACCGAACGUAUCGAAAGAAUGAACCGAACAUUUGGUGAAUCAUCAAUGGAAGAAGUAUUUUUGAAAGGAGACGGCCGUGAAUGGGCCGAAUGGGCUCGACAAACGCUAAACGUAGGGAGAGGGUCAAAGGCUAGCGAGCAAUGAUACUCGAUGAAGUCAAGUGGAAACGAUCAAGACUCGAAGAUAUUUCUGACGAAAUGCUGAAUUCUUACUUCCUGCCACUUCCCCACCAUGACGAACUUCCUAUAAAUGUUAGGCUGACUUCAAAAUCAUGAGCAUGCAGAAAGUAACAUCCUGUUUAACGCACAUCGGCUGGAUCGUCCAAAGUCGGUAAUCAUUAGGCAUCGCCAGCCAGUGGUUCUUCGUUUUGUUUUAUCAACGUAGAAUUGAGAUUAGAAAAUCAUUCGGAAUGAAAGCUGUGAUGGAAUUAAGUCAUGGAAUAUUUGUGCACAGAAUUCCAUAAUAAACGCCACAAUC